GCCACGGUGAAUACGUUCCCGGGCCUUGUACACACCGCCCGUCACACCAUGGGAGUGGGUUGCAAAAGAAGUAGGUAGCUUAACCUUCGGGAGGGCGCUUACCACUUUGUGAUUCAUGACUGGGGUGAAGUCGUAACAAGGUAACCGUAGGGGAACCUGCGGUUGGAUCACCUCCUUA
rnacentral:rRNA from 3 species